ACCUUCGUAGUUUACUCAAAACAUUACACUUUCACUGUAAAAAUAAGCCCAGCUUUUUAGGUA
rnacentral:tRNA from 1 species